CAAAGUGCUGGGAUUACAGGCGUGAGCCACUGCACCCGGCCCUGAACUUAGGUUUUGAUGUCCCAGGGAUGUCCUGGUUGCUGGUCUUUCCCCACACCGGGUGGGGUUACGGUGGGUGGUGACUAGGAGUCAAUGUCAAAACCCUUUUAGCCACAGUUGAGCAAUAGGGGAGGUUUGGAGGGUGUGGUGCCUGGGCUGAGGCCCCCUGGGGCCCGUUACUGAGUUCAGUUUUGUCUGCUUUGGAGUCUCUUGCUGUCAUCUCGACGCGCUGGGCCAGCAUGAUCCUGCGAGGAGUUGUACUUCAAAAUUUAACAAGGAACAAACGCAAAGCUUCAAAAGGGGAAAUACAAGCUUUCCCAGAGGAGUUUCUCCAGGUGCAGCGUGUGGUGGCAGCAACAGCACAGGCAUUUCCUUACUUAACCAGAAGAGACUAAGGGAUCUCCUGGGUCAGGUUCUGUGGAGUUCCAGCAGAAGCCGCGGAUCGUGGAAGUUCAGCGACACCACCGUCCUGCCCCGUGGGAGAGGUGGGCAUUGAGAUGGGUAAGAGCGUCAUCAUGACAGGAGUCCUGUUCGCCGGCGUCUAGGGAAAGCCGUCUACAGCAUGAAACGUCCUAUUCGCGACCUGGUUUGCAGUUCGAAUGUCUCUGACUAUGGCAUUGGGAGGUUUGACAAACGCUCUUUCGAAUCCAGAAAAGUCAAGUAGAGAAGGAAAGUAAGGGGCCACUUACUGUGCCUCGAAUCACAAGACCGCGGUGGACCAGCCUGGUUAAGACCUGUGGAUGUCUUCAGCAAGAAACUUGGAGAGGCCCCUAAAGAUAUCGCCAGAGAGAAAACAAAGAAAGCUUCAGUCGCUCCUUCCUAAGCUGUCACGACUACUCUUUUAAAUGGCCCCAUGCUUGGAUUUCUGUCACCACGACUGGGGGAGCCUGGGCGAGUGUGCUUUCCCUCACUGCACCUCCCAUGGGAGCCCAGGCUGCUGCGCCGUCCUCAGACUGUUGGGAUGAUGAGCGGACGGUGAACUCCCACCACCUGCGCCUGUGAAGGGAGCUCCGGUUGAGGGGCUUUGCUGGCUUCGGGUCGGGGGCUGCCGUAGUUCUGUGUUGGGGAGAUGGUGUGGACUGCGGCAGAGCCAAGCCUGAGCCCCACGCCAGGAUGAGUGGAGUGCCCGGAAAGCAUUCUGAUUUCCGGCCUGGCGUGUCUUCCUUCCAUUACACUGAAAGUUUUACCCAA